UGACUCUCCAUCGUUACUGAAUUCCCAGUUCAAAUCACCUCUUUUAUAUCUCUUGCCAUAUUUCCUACUCCCACAACCCACUAUUUUUAUAUAUUUUUUAUCGUUUUGAUACGAUAAUGAUAAAAAUAAUUUUUAAAAACAAAAAAAAAUAUUUUUAAUAUCUUUGCUUCAAACUGCAAGGGCCAGCCCCAGAUAGAAUCACCCGUUAAGUUGAAUUAAGCUUCACCCAGUCCAACUCGGAGGAAGAGCGAGGCCUGGAGGUGGAUAGUGAAGAAGACAAGAGACUCAAAGCCAUUCUUCUUCGCAUUCGCUACAUUAUGCGGUGUCGUUCCAGGUGUGAUUGGGUAUUUCGUGAUGCAAACCACCAACUCCCGCAACCCCGAGCUCGACGGAUUCCCUUGAAUGAAAGUGCAUGGCAGUGACCUCAGAGUAACUGCUUUAGAUACUGGGAUGAUGGGUAAAGUUAAUCGAGAGAGACUGGCAGUAUACCUUGGCGAGCUGCAGCGGAAAGAGGAUACAAACGAUCGCUAUGUAGCUGCUCUAAGAGGGGAGACAUUUACAAGAAACCCAUAUGCAAGGAUUCAGUCAAUACCCAAGCGGAAUAACACUGAAGCUGACAAGGAGCAGAAACUUGAUAACGAUCAAAGGAAGCAGAUUAGUUGAUGGUUCUUGCUGAUGUGACCCUUUCUAUAUUUGGUAUAUUAAUGUCAUGGCAGCACAAGAAAUGCAAAAUGGUCCCUUUUCUUCUUGUUACGCAACAGCUUGUAGCCUGUGUUUUAUUUGGAAUAUUUCUGCUUUGGUAUGGUUUUUUCAUACCCGCUGGGAAUGACAGCAAUUAUCUCAUAUUAUAAUGUUUCUGAUUUGCUUUU